GACGAGCUCUCCAAACGUUAUUCGGUAUCACUGGGCUUAAAGAGUUCGUAGGCGGUCUGGUAGGUGAGGUGUGAAAUCCCCCGGCUCAACCGGGGAACUGCGCUUCAAACCACCGGACUUGAGGGAGACAGAGGUGGGCGGAACAGAUGGUGGAGCGGUGAAAUGCGUUGAUAUCAUCUGGAACACCGGUGGCGAAAGCGGCCCACUGGGUCUUUUCUGACGCUGAGGAACGAAAGCUAGGGUAGCGAACGGGAUUAGAAACCGAGUAGUCC
rnacentral:rRNA from 1 species